UCGACGCAUUCUUCGGAUGAGUGGCGCACGGCUGAGGAACACGUGACUAACCUACCCCGGUGUGGGGGAUAACGGGUCGAAAGACUCGCUAAUCCCGCAUACGAUCCGCCUCGGCGGAGGAAAGCCGUAAGGCGCACUGGGCGGGGGUCGCGUCCCAUUAGAUAGUUGGUGUGGUAAUGGCGCACCAAGUCGAUGAUGGGUCUCUGGUCUGAGAGGACGACCAGACAGAUUGGGACUGAGACACGGCCCAAACUCCUACGGGGGGCAGCAGCAAGGAAUUUUCGGCAAUGGGCGCAAGCCUGACCGAGCAACGCCGCGUGGAGGAUGACGGCUCUUGGGUUGUAAACUCCUUUUGGGGGGGACGAUAAUGACGGUACCCUCCGAAUCAGGCCCGGCUAACUACGUGCCAGCAGCCGCGGUAAUACGUAGGGGCCAAGCGUUGUCCGGAAUUACUGGGCGUAAAGCGUGGGUAGGUGGUCGGUGAUGUGCCGCGUGAAAGCGCCGGAGUAAUGCCGGCGAGGUCGCGGUAGACACACGGACUCGAGGCUCGCAGAGGAACGUGGAAUUCCCGGUGUAGUGGUGAAAUGCGUAGAUAUCGGGAGGAACACCAGUGGCGCAAGCGGCGUUCUGGGCGAGACCUGACACUGAGCCACGACGGCGUGGGGAGCAAACAGGAUUAGAUACCCUGGUAGUCCACGCAGUAAACGAUGCAUACCAGGUGUGGGAUGGCGUUCGCGUCGUUCCGUGCCGCA
rnacentral:rRNA from 1 species